rnacentral:lncRNA from 1 species
GUUUAUCAAGAAGCAAAAUUAAACUAUGGUGGCUGCCUAUUGGAAAAUACGAUCCAGUUUUUAGAAAGAUUCAGUGACAGAAAUCAUCCAUCUCACUGAAGAUGGUGGAACAGAAUAGGGGAUACAUCUCAGUUAUCCGUGUUUCUGAAUAAUGAAAGGAAUGACUUUACUGCAUGUCAUAAGAUCUUCAAAUUAUUUUGCUAGAAAUCCCAUUUUAGUUUUAUUCAUAAAUAAGAAGUCUGUGCAUGCUUUGGAAUAUAUGGAGCAUUUAAAGCUGUGUAAUCCAGUGUCAUGGAAUAAUUAGCAAUUAUUAGUUCUGGAAGCAACUAUGGGGGAAGUAAUGAAAAAUGCUAUUACAAAGAAAUCAAGAAACUCCACAACAUCAAAACAAACAACCCACUUAAGAGAUGGGCCAAGGACCUCAAUAGACAUU